GGGCCGGGCGUGCUUAACACAUGCAAGUCGAACGAGAACGGGACAUAGCUUGCUAUGUUUGUCAGCUAAGUGGCGGACGGGUGAGUAAUGUAUAGCUAAUGUACCCCUUGGAGGGGGAUAACAGUUGGAAACGGCUGCUAAUACCCCAUACUCCUUCUAUCUUAAUGGUAGUUGGGAAAUGUUUUUUCGCCAAGGGAUCGGGCUAUAUGGUAUCAGUUAGUUGGUGAGGUAAUGGCUCACCAAGACAAUGACGCCUAGCUGGUCUGAGGGGAUGAUCAGGCACACUGAGCUAGACCCGGUCUGAUCUACGGGAGGCAGCAGUGGGAGUAUUGCUGCAUGGGGGGAGCCCUGAUGCAGCACCGCCGCGUGGAGGAUGACGCAUUUCGUUGUGUAAACUCCUUUUAUAUAGGUAGAUAAUGACGGUAGUAUAUGAUAGCAGCGGCUAACUACGUGCCAGCAGCGCGGUAAUACGUAGGUGGCAAGCGUUGUCCGGAUUACUGGGUGUAAAGGGCGUGUAGGCGGGGAUGCAAGUCAGAUGUGAAAUUCCUAAGCUCAACUUCGGCGCUGCAUGUGAAACUGUAUCUCUUGAGUGCUUGAGAGGAAAGCGGAAUUCCUAGUGUAGCGGUGAAAUGCGUAGAUAUUAGGAGGAACACCAGUGGCGAAGGCGGCUUUUUUGACAGUAACUGACGCUGAGGCGCGAAAGCGUGGGGAGCGAACAGGAUUAGAUACCUUGGUAGUCCACGCCGUAAACGAUGGAUACUAGGUGUAGGAGGUAUCGACCCCUUCUGUGCCGGAGUUAACACAAUAAGUAUCCCACCUGGGGAGUACGGCCGCAAGGUUGAAACUCAAAGGAAUUGACGGGGGCCCGCACAUGCAGUGGAGUAUGUGGUUUAAUUCGAAGCAGCGCGAAGACCCUUACCAGGGCUUGACAUACCUCUGACGUAGUUAGAGAUACUAUUCCCUUCGGGGCAGUGGAUACAGUGGUGCAUGGUUGUCGUCAGCUCGUGUCGUGAGAUGUUGGGUUAAGUCCCGCAACGAGCGCAACCCCUGUGUUAGUUGCCAUCAUUUAGUGGCACUCUUGCGAGACUGCCGGUGACAAGUCGAGGACGGUGGGGACGACGUCAGUUCAUCAUGGCCCUUAUGUGUUUGGGUGGGCUCUUACUACAAUGGCUAUUACAGAGGGAAGCGAAACCGCGAGGUGGAGCAAAUCUCCAAAAAUAGUCCCAGUUCAGAUUGUAGGGUGAAACUCGCCUACAUGAAGUCGGAAUUGCUAGUAAUGGCAGGUCAGCAUACUCCCGUGAAUACGUUCCCGGGCCUUGUACACACCGCCCGUCACACCAUGAGAGUCUGCAACACCCGAAGUCAGUAGUCUAACUGUAAAGAGGACGCUGCCGAAGGUGGGGCCGAGAUUGGGGGAAGUCGUAACAAGGUAACC
rnacentral:rRNA from 1 species